rnacentral:rRNA from 1 species
CACCGGCGGCUCGAGUGGUGGCCACUUUUAUUGGGGCUAAAGCGUCCGUAGCCGGCUUGGCAAGUCCCCUGGGAAAUCUGGCGGCUUAACCGUCAGGCGUCCAGAGGAUACUGCCAGGCUUGGGACCGGGAGAGGUGAGAGGUACCUCAGGGGUAGGGGUGAAAUCUUGUGAUCCCUGAGGGACCACCAGUGGCGAAGGCGUCUCACUAGAACGGGUCCGACGGUCAGGGACGAAAGCUGGGGGCACGAACCGG